UAGGGAAUCUUCGGCAAUGGGGGCAACCCUGACCGAGCAACGCCGCGUGAGUGAAGAAGGUUUUCGGAUCGUAAAGCUCUGUUGUAAGAGAAGAACGUGUGUGAGAGUGGAAAGUUCACACAGUGACGGUAACUUACCAGAAAGGGACGGCUAACUACGUGCCAGCAGCCGCGGUAAUACGUAGGUCCCGAGCGUUGUCCGGAUUUAUUGGGCGUAAAGCGAGCGCAGGCGGUUUAAUAAGUCUGAAGUUAAAGGCAGUGGCUUAACCAUUGUACGCUUUGGAAACUGUUAAACUUGAGUGCAGAAGGGGAGAGUGGAAUUCCAUGUGUAGCGGUGAAAUGCGUAGAUAUAUGGAGGAACACCGGUGGCGAAAGCGGCUCUCUGGUCUGUAACUGACGCUGAGGCUCGAAAGCGUGGGGAGCAAACAGG
rnacentral:rRNA from 1 species